GCAUGGAUUAUGGGAGAGUACGUCUGUCACCAGAAAAAAAUUAUUAAAAAACACAAUAUCAUGCAUCUUGAACAGUUUCCCUUGACUGUUCAUCACGUCUUUCCUUUCUUCCGCACAUCGUUUUUCGCAAUCCCUCCAAUUUUUGCCCACGCGUGCCUGUGUCCUUUCCUAUUGCUUUGCUCUCAAACGGAGAGCAAAAUGGGACGCGUGGGUCACGCUGCUUCUUCCCUCUUUCUCUUCGACUCGGUGUUCAUCCUUUCCACCGCUUCAACUGGCUACAGGCUCCAUCAAACCCUAGAAUCGUUUUGCUUUUUUGGGCACCCUCCUUUUUCUCCCUGCUCCUUGCUUUCUCCAACCUAGAAUCCUCCUCCUUUCCCUGAAAGACAAAUUAUAUAUAUAUAUAUAUAUAUUAUAUUAUAUUAUUUCAAUAAUUUUUUUUUUUCUGGUAGUUUUCCGUGUUGAGGUGGGAUUUGUGGAAGUAUUUUUUUUUUCUUUCCUUAUUCUGGGUAUUUUCUUUAUAUGAUUAGAUCAGCUGUUGGGUCGAUGAUUUAUUUGUGUUUUUCGUUUCAAAAUGCGUUGCUUUAUGUUUUUUGGAAUUUAGUUUUUGUAAUUUUGGGUGUUUUGUUUAUAUCCUUAGAUCUAUUGUUUCUCACAGACCCUUUUGUUUCUCUCAAACCUCUCUUUGCCUCGCUCGCUCUCCGAUCUCCAGAGAACCUCUCUUUGCCUCACUCUCCGAUCUCCAGUUCUCUCUGUGUCUCCUUUCUUCCAGAAAACACUCAAGUUAGUCAAAUUUGUUCAGAUCUUUUUGUCGGGGGCUACGGAUGGCAGCGCUCUCUUGCUGAAAAAUAGUGGUCUCGAUUUAAAGAAAAUUUGAAGCCCAUAAAAGAUCGUGUUUCCUGCUGCCGAUUUGGUGUGGGAGAUCGGGAUUGUUUGGGAUAUUUUUAGGUUUUUUCUGAUUCUUGAAAAAAACCAUGGUUAAGAGUAAAUUAAUUAUAUUUUAAUUUUCAUUUAAUUCAGGUAACCGUCUUUCAGUUUUUUGGUUUGAACGCUAUAACCAGCAAUCUUUGAAAAAGAUCAAAGGGGCCAAGCGGUGGAGGAGUGGGUUAAUAGUUAUGUGUUCUUCUUGAUAAUUAAUAAGACUGCAGCAGCUGCAGCUCCACCAUCAUUUCUGAAAAAUUAGAUUUACUAAGUCAAUUACCUGCUUUGCAACAGCUUCUUUCUUGCCUUCUUGAUUGCCAGAGAAGAGAUGUUGAUGGUGCAUGAGAGCAGUACCUUGGGUUGGAGCACUCUGAUAAAGCUCCUAAGAGCGCUCACGCAACAAAUCAACAAAUGCUGGUGUUCUUAUUUUGGGGUUUUGCUGAAGGUAUAUAUAAUUUGUUGAAAUAUUUAGUUUGUAAUAUAUUAACAAUUUUGCUGGGUCAGUUUUGUUACUGACUGUUUUUUCUUUCUUUCUUUUUUUUUCGCUUUCGAUCUCCUUCUAUUUGAGUGGUAUACUGGUACACAAUUUAUUGUCCUAAAUUCACAAUCUUACACUUCACAGAUUUCACUGCUCAACCUAUACUCAGGUAAUCAGUUCGAAGUUGGACUAUUUUAACCCUUUCAGUUUUUAGACUCUAUAGUGUCAAAUCCAGUGUUUUAUUUUGAUUCUACAUUCAUUUUGAUUUUACUUUUGACUUUCAGUCUACGUUCAUUUUGAUUGAGUUGUUUUAAGGAUUUUGUGGGAGGACUCCCUUUGGAAUUGCCGAAUGCUGUUAUUUGUCGGGUGGAUACCUUGGAAGUAGAGUUGAUUCCUACUAAAAAGUCAUUUCGAACUCCGGAUUCAGCCAGCCUGUGAUCUGUGCAAAAUAUGCAUAUAUGGAUGAGUGCCAUGGACUCUUCUCAACCUAUGGACCUCAAAUCUCACUUGAAUGGAUUUGUACCAGAGCAUCUUGCGCAGCAGUAUGGUGGCUCUGCAGCUCACAAUACUUAUACAAACAUAAAAAAAAGCCUCCAAACCUCCAAAGACAGUAGCAUGAUCUAUGUUGAUGUGCUCAGGUAGAAAUUACAGAGGAGCUUAUUUGUUGGAGAUUUGAAGAGUAAAACUUAGCAGCACGGUACCGCUGGAAGUGGUAAUUGCUAAUCAGGCUUCCACUCUUUUUUCCACAUACUUUGGUUCAAAAGCAAUAUCAUUUGAAUGAUGAAACAUUAAGUUAGCAUCUGAAGUGAACUGUAUUUGCCAUUUCUCUUUUAAGUGAAUUUUAAGAUCAGCUCCGGUCCAUGUUUGUUUAACAAUGUUGUAUCAUUCAUUAUAUAGUUUCACAAGGAUCGUGCAUAAUUCUUGCUGAA